rnacentral:rRNA from 1 species
ACUAUAACGGUCCUAAGGUAGCGAAAUUCCUUGUCGGGUAAGUUCCGACCUGCACGAAUGGCGUAAUGAUGGCCAGGCUGUCUCCACCCGAGACUCAGUGAAAUUGAACUCGCUGUGAAGAUGCAGUGUACCCGCGGCAAGACGGAAAGACCCCGUGAACCUUUACUAUAGCUUGACACUGAACACUGGUCCUUGAUGUGUAGGAUAGGUGGGAGGCUUUGAAGUGUGGACGCCAGUCUGCAUGGAGCCAUCCUUGAAAUACCACCCUUUAAUGGCUGGUGUUCUAACGUGGGCCCCUAAUCGGGGUUGCGGACAGUGUCUGGUGGGUAGUUUGACUGGGGCGGUCUCCUCCUAAAGAGUAACGGAGGAGCACGAAGGUCAGCUAAUCCUGGUCGGACAUCAGGAGGUUAGUGCAAUGGCAUAAGCUGGCUUGACUGCGAGCGUGACGGCGCGAGCAGGUGCGAAAGCAGGUCAUAGUGAUCCGGUGGUUCUGAAUGGAAGGGCCAUCGCUCAACGGAUAAAAGGUACUCCGGGGAUAACAGGCUGAUACCGCCCAAGAGUUCAUAUCGACGGCGGUGUUUGGCACCUCGAUGUCGGCUCAUCACAUCCUGGGGCUGAAGUAGGUCCCAAGGGUAUGGCUGUUCGCCAUUUAAAGUGGUACGCGAGCUGGGUUUAGAACGUCGUGAGACAGUUCGGUCCCUAUCUGCCGUGGGCGCUGGAGAAUUGAGGGGGGCUGCUCCUAGUACGAGAGGACCGGAGUGGACGCAUCACUGGUGUUCGGGUUGUCAUGCCAAUGGCAUUGCCCGGUAGCUAAAUGCGGAAGAGAUAAGUGCUGAAAGCAUCUAAGCACGAAACUUGCCCCGAGAUGAGUUCUCCCUGACUCCUUGAGAGUCCUGAAGGAACGUUGAAGACGACGACGUUGAUAGGCCGGGUGUGUAAGCGCAGCGAUGCGUUGAGCUAACCGGUACUAAUGAACCGUGAGGCUUAACCUU